CUCCCAAAACCUUCUCCAGAACUACACCAGGACCUUCUCCAGAACCACCCAAAAACGUCCUUCAGAACCUCCUCUGGACCUUCUCCAGAACCUCCCAAAAACCUCCUUCAAAAGCUCCCCAAAACCUUCUCCAGAACCUCCCAAAACCUCCUCCAAAAGCUCCCAAAACCCUCUCCAGAACCUCCCAAAAUCUCCCCAAAACCUUCUCCAGAACCUCCCAAAAACCUCCUCCAAAAGCUCCCCAAAACAUUCUCCAGAACCUCCCGAAAGCUCCCCAAAACCUUCUCUAGAACCUCCCAAAAUGUCCUCCCAGAACCUCCCUGAAGUCCUCCAGAGCCUGUCCCCCGCUCUCACCUGCAGGAGGGAGGAUGAACUGAGGGAACCUCUGGAUGGGCUUCACCAUCAGCCCGUAGAGCGUGACGCGGUCGGCGCUGGCCAUCUGCCGCUUCUGCGGCGGGGAAACGCCACGGUGACGGGGGUUUUGGGGACACGCCACCAAAAAACGGGAAUUUUGGGAAAAGCCGAGCCCGGAGGGGCCGCGCUGACCUUGAGGAAGUCCAGGAAGGCGGGUUUGGUCAGACAGGCCUUCUUGAUCAGGGACAUGGCCGCCGUGAAGUUGUUGACGUAGUCGCUGUAGACGUCCAGGACCAUGGACUUGGAGAACUGGGAGAGGAUGGGAGAGCGGGAAUGGGGUGGGGUGUCACAAAAACUGGGUGGGGCUUCCAAAAAAUCAGGUGGGGCUUCCAAAAAAUGGGGUGGGAUUCCAAAAACCAGGUGGGACUUCCAAAAAAUCAGGUGGGGCUUCACAAAAACUGGGUGGGGCUUCCAAAAUAUGGGGUGGGGCUUCCAAAACCAGGUGGGGCUUCCAAAAAAUGGGGUGGAAUUUUCAAAAACCGUGUGGAGCUUCCAAAAAAUGAGGUGGGGAUUCCAAAAAAUGACGUGGGGCUUCCAAAAACCAGGUGGAGCUUCACAAAAACUGGGUGGGGCUUCCAAAAAAAGGGGUGGGGCUCCCAAAAAAUGGGGUGGGGCUUCCAAAAACCAGGUGGGGCUUCCAAAAACCAGGUGGGGGCUUCACAAAACCGGGUGGGGCUUCAGAAAAACUGGGUGGGGCUUCACAAAAACUGGGUGGGGCUUCCAAAAAAUGAGGUGGGGCUUCCAAAAAAUGAGGUGGGGCUUCACAAAAACUGGGUGGGGCUUCACUAAAAUGAGUCGGGGCCACUUCUGUUUCUUUAUGGGAUUUUUGGGACCGUUCCCAGUUUUUGCUGGGACCCCGGAGGGAUUUGGGGCCAUUCCUUUUUCUUUAUGGGAUUUGUGGCCAUUCCCAUUUUUUUUCCAGGCCCCUGAUGGGAUUUGUGGCCAUUCCCAGUUUUUGCUUAGCCCCUGAUGGGAUUUGUGGCCAUUCCCAGUUUUUUCUCGGUCCCUGAUGGGAUUUUGGGGCCGUUCCCAUUUUUUGCUCGGCCCCCUGUUGGGAUUUUGGGGCCGUUCCCAGUUUUUGCCGGACAUCCCAGUAGGAUUUGUGGACAUUCCCAGUUUUUGCCCGGCCCCUGGUGGGAUUUUGAGGUCGUUCCCAGUUUUUUGCUCAGCCCCUGAUGGGGUUUUUGGGGCCGUUUCCCAUUUUUUGCCCGGCCCCUGGUGGGAUUUUGGGGCCGUUCCCAGUUUUUGCCCAGCCCCUGAUGGGAUUUUGGGGCCGUUCCCAAUUUUUGCCGGGCCCCUGGUGGGAUUUUGAGGCCAUUCCCAGUUUUUGCUCGACCCCUGGUGAGAUUUGGGGCCAUUCCCAGUUUUUGCCCGGCCCCUGAUGGGAUUUUGUGGCCAUUCCCAGUUUUUGCCGAACAUCCCAGUAGGAUUUGUGGCCAUUUCCCAGGUUUUGCUGGGAUCCCAAUAAGAUUUGGGGCCAUUCCCGGUUUUUGCUGGGACUCCAGCUGGAUUUGAAGCCAUUCCUGUUUCUUUAUGGGAUUUUUGGGACCGUUCCCAGUUUUUGCUGGGAGCCUGGAGGGAUUUGGGGCCAUUCCUGUUUCUUUAUGGGAUUUGUGGCCAUUCCCAGUUUUUGCCUGGCCCCUGGUGGAUUUUUGGGGCCGUUCCCAAUUUUUGCCCGGCCCCUGGUGGGAUUUUGGGGCCGUUCCCAGUUUUUGCCGGGCCCCUGUCAGGAUUUUGGGGCCGUUCCCAGUUUUUUGCUGGGCCCCUGAUGGGAUUUUGGGGCCCGUUCCCAGUUUUUGCUCGGCCCCUGAUGGGAUUUUGGGGCCGCUCCUGUUUCUUUAUGGGAUUUGUGGCCAUUCCCAGUUUUUGCCGGGCCCCUGAUGGAUUUUGGGACCGUUCCCAGUUUUUGCUGGGCCCCUGUCAGGAUUU
rnacentral:lncRNA from 1 species